rnacentral:lncRNA from 1 species
CCCGAACUCGUCAACUUCCUGUCGGUACUUGAAGAAGCGGAGCCAGGGCUGAGAUCCCGAAGGCGGGCGAGGCCGCAGUUCGGGGGCCACGCCCCGGCGUGCUCGGGUCACCGCGGGAAGCCCUUGAACCCCCUGGCGCCCGGCACCCACGUGCGGUAACCGCGGCUCCUCGAGAGCUCCAGGGAUGCGGAUCUACAGCCUUGGGGAUGAAGGUGAGAAAUUCGAGAAUCCCCGGAGAUAACACAUCAGCAAAUAGUGCGCAGGCAGAACAAGCUGUUGGAGGUGAGAGACACAGAGCAGAGAAGCACCCGCACCUGGAGAGUCAGGAGGGCCUCACAUCAGAACGCCUGAGCAAAUACAGUUUUGAAGGAUACUAAUUUUUUAAAAAGUUCAUUCACAUGAGUUAGACAAAGAGAAAGAAGCAGGACAUUCUAGGAAGAAGGAACGGCCCAGGCAAAAGCGACGCGUACAUUGGCGUGGGUCCAUUCAAGAAUUGUGCCCACAAUAUACCAGGCACUUGUCCAGACCUGCAUCGUCCAAUGCCCACCUCGACCUCCCAAAGUGUUGGGAUUAGAGGCGUGAGCCACCGCGCCCUGCCUGCAUGUGGCUAUUGAGAUGUGCUGUAUGAUACACACCGGACUUUGAAGACUCAGUGUGAAAAAUAAAAAGAAUUUUAAGAGGGGUGGGGGUCGAGGGGAGGCAGAGCAGUAGGACAAAUAGCUAAUGCACGCAGGGCUUAAAACCUAGACAACAGGUUGAUGGGUGCAGCAAACCACCAUGACACAUGUUUAUCUAUAUAGCACCUACAUGUUCUGCACUUGUAUCCUGGAACUUAAAAUUAGAAAAAAAAAAUAAUAAAAGCCAACAUGGCAUUCAUUACUGCCAAAAAAAUUAAAACACAUUGUUAA